CAAAAGAAAGAGAGAAUCUGAAGAGAAAGAGGUGAGAAAUAAGUCCAGGAAGAGUGUCGGGAGUGAUAAGCAGCAGCACUCUGAGGGGAACCAGAGAGACAGAUGCACACCCAGGAGGGGUCACACGCAGCAGCAAAUAGCACACCACAGUGGCUGCGCUGUGCAGAGGGUUCGGAACCAGGGACCCGGAGCUGUUGCCCCAGUAGGGCAUGGUCCACACCGCGGUAAAGAGCCUGCAAUGAAAGACAUGGAGGAAAGGGGGCAAAAGAUUCCCAAGAAG